GGGGUGAGUCAAGUGACAUACAACACAAGAAAUAUUCAGUUAUGAGGAUUGAAGAAAUUAAUGAUCAUUCAGUCAUUGAGGAUUUGAGAAGAGGCAUCAAUGCUCCAGUAGAGGUGUUAUUGAAGUUGUGGCUGUCAAUAGUCCUUUUAUUGAUGCUAAGUACAUGGUGCAAUGACAGAAAUCAUCCAGUGGGAUGUUCUACUGCAUCAGAAUUUGACAAAUUUAAUUCUGCCAUUAUAUUCUUCCCUUCACUGCUCAAGUUAACACCCCUCCUCCCAUUUAUUGGCCCAUAUGUUCAAGUAUGAAUCCACUCAUGGCCCCUUUAAAGGAUCCAUUAAGAUCGUGGAUGAUUCAGUAUUGGAGAUUAAUACGAAAAGAUCACAACCACGGGCGAAAGGUAAAUAUGCCAGGGUUAGCUAAUUGUUUGCCAUAUUAGUGUGGUUGAUAUAUAUGUCGCGGUUUCUAAAUAUGCAUGACAUGUUGUGCUGAAAUAAGGACAUGUGAAGCAAUGAAGUCACCAAGGUAACAUUAUUAGUUAAUAAUUGAUUUAUAGUUUAGAGCCCCAUGUUUUUCGCACAUUCAUACGGACAUAUAAUAGCUUAUAAGCGCGCGCUUGUCGUACAUCUCGAGUACUGCUUGUUCCUUCUCUUAUUUUGAUUCUUAUGUUCACAUGUUGAUUUUUUGUCAUAGAGGGAAAGGAGAAGUCUGAAUGCGCCAACAAGUAGCGACCAAUGAGCUGUCGUCUAUGGAUUGGCUAAGGGAGGAGUUGUCUUGUGCUGCAAGGGCAUCUUGCAGAUCGAUUUCCUUGGUUUGAUGUGUCUCAGAUUCUAAUUAGUAUUUAAUUUCCUUAGUUUUAACUUACAACCAGACAGAAAUUGUUAUUGCACCUGAAUAUUUGAUUAUGAAUCUAAGUUAUGGGAAAUAGGUGGAGUAAGAGGAAAUGAGGCGUUGUUAGAUGGGUCCUUGCCACGGUUGCCCUGAGUUUUCGCAUUGAAGCACCACUUUGUAUGGCUAGCCUUCCAUGGCUACAUCGAGAGUCCCAAUCUGCAGGCGAGCUCUUUUUUUCAUCUGCAGGUUAUGAGUCAUCUCCACCUCAAUGAGAUUUAGUUUCCACAUUAACGACUAUAGGUUUCUUAAUGUUUUGGAGUGGUCUACUUUCAUUGUCUCCGGUUCAGUUGUGUAUUUCUUUGCGCCCAUGUUCGCUUCAGUAUUCCCUUCCAAUUCUCACACUAUGGUUGUGGCUUCUUUAUUUAUGUUGGACUGUUCUGUGAAUUGCCACCAUGACACUUGUUGAAAAUAGUGUUGUCGGGUGAUAAUCAUUCUUGGCAGUGAUUCUUGUUGUGGAUGGGAUAUUGAUGCAGAUAUACCACGAAGGGAAGAUCUGCCUCACUGUGCACUUCAGGCGCGCACACACUAGUGAUGGUAUAGGAUUGGCUUCCUGGUGGAAUCAGGUGCGCGUCGUCCAUGGUGGCCUGUCGUGGGUGUUGGUGGGCGGCUGGAGGCGGCUGUAGCAGGUCGAUUUAUCUGACUACUGAAAAUGAGCUUCAGAAUAUCUGUAGAACAUAGCCCACUUCCAGCCAAAUAUCAAUUAUGAUAAAUCCACCAUGUACCAUGAUCAUUUGAACAGUCUUGCUUAAGUUUAUGUUAGCCCUGUAUGCUAAUUUGAGGAGAUUGUUAACUUUAAGGUGUGAACAUUUAUAAAAUGAUAAUUGUACCAUUUUUUGGGAUUUUGUGAUU